UCCCUGGUAGUAUAUCGGUUAGUACACGCGCCUGUCAUUAAAGAAGUAUUCGCAUGUCAAUCUGCGCGCGAAAGCUGGGUUCGACUCCCAGCCAGGGAG